rnacentral:sRNA from 2 species
CGACUAAGGUUCGAUUCGAGCGAAAGCGAGAAAGCGUUGCCGCAGGCAACGACCCGAAGGGCGAAACGCGCAGCGCUGAGUCAUCCUUCCCCCACCACCA